GAGUUCUAUUCAGCUUCAAUAAGAGAGCCUGGAUUGGUCUGACUGACUCUGUUACUGAGGGGGCCUGGAAAUGGGUGGACGGCACCCCACUGACCACCCCAAGUUACUGGUACUCACAGCAGCCUGAUAAUGGUCAUGACAACCCAAAAUAUGGGGAGGAGGACUGUGUUGAACUGAACACAGAAACCUGGCUUCCUGUAAAGGCAUGGAAUGACCAGUCAUGUUUACUCAAUCGUUACUGGAUUUGUGAGAAAGUGGUUUAACAUCACCAUAACAACAGAGGAGGCUGGUGGGAGGACACACACACAUACAGCACCUUACAGUGCACACAACUUCAUUCUCUCUCUCUCUAAGACACACCAACACACUGCUGGUACUGCACUGAGGGGCAAAACAACCUGAUAAUGGUGGUGUACCAAGAUAUAACUAGGACUGUGCUGAUGUUAAUAUUGGGUAUUCUGAGCCUGUAUAUAAAUAUUCUGACAUAUCAUUUACCUCUCAACAUAACUGGAUUUGUGAAGAGUUAUACAGUAGCUCAUUAUAUAGCAUUGCUACAGUGCUAAUGCAUCUCUCUCUAGUUAAACAGUGUGUAGACAUACUGUCAUCUGUAAAAUGAUUGUAUUCAUUGUUUUAAAUAGAAACAUGUUAUGUGAUUUGCCAUAGGCUUCUUCUUUUUUCAUAAUAAAUUAUUAGCAUAAAUCACUUCAGUAAGAAGAUGAACUAAGGCUCAGAUUAAGUAAGAAAGGAACCUAUCAGGUUUACCAGCUACCUGAUUGAAUGUGAUUGGAUUGUUAAAACAAUGUGACUUGCAGAUGGACACAGACAGAAGGCAGAACAGUACUGAGAGGAUACAUGCUGCACCUAGGCAGACACACACAGAGACACACCUGUGAAGUUCCGCUAUUCUGAUAAUGAUGCAGACAGCUAUCAUGUUAUAUCACUGUGUUUAGAAUAUCCUGUAAUGUAUAACUUCCUGAUUGAAGGUGAUUGGAUACUUAAAAAAUGAUAUCAACCGUAGUGGACAACAGACAGAGAUCAGAGAGGAAUCUGGUGGAGAUCCACAUCAGAGCAACUACUCAACUACUAGUCACUGAAGUUAGAAUCAUACAGUAGAUAUUACCAUUAGGAGUCAGUUAGAAAGGUAAUCAUACAGUUUGUUUCUAAACUAUGACAUGAUAUUGCUUCUAUAAAAUCAACAUUGUGAGGA